ACGGGAGGCAGCAGUGGGGAAUAUUGCACAAUGGGCGCAAGCCUGAUGCAGCCAUGCCGCGUGUAUGAAGAAGGCCUUAGGGUUGUAAAGCUCUUUCACCGGAGAAGAUAAUGACGGUAUCCGGAGAAGAAGCCCCGGCUAACUUCGUGCCAG
rnacentral:rRNA from 1 species